CGGCAUCGGUAUGAUGUCAGAAAUAAGACGGGAUUCAUCCCUGUUUUCGAGGAAUUCGGGGCCCGUCCUGUCAUCCAGUGCCCACCUUUGUCUGCGUGAGUCAUGUGCCACCACGAGAGAAGCCAUGAUGACCACUGUGGCACCCGCCACGAGAACCACCGUGCGAAUGGGAGGAUCCUUGGCGAGAGGUGGAUGAGCCUGGCUGAGAUGGAGGGUGAGUGGUGAUGAGGGAUGUGGUAUGGUCCGCGGAGGCCGAGGAGCGAGAGGUCUGGUUCUCAAAGACCAGCAGACGAGAGCGGAGGUCUGUGAAGCUUGAGAGAGUGGGU
rnacentral:lncRNA from 1 species